ACGUCGCCCCGAGCGGCGCACCGGCCUGAACGGGCCUGUGCGGCGGGGGUGGUGCCGUGUCGGCGCAGCACCACCCCCGCUCA
rnacentral:ncRNA from 1 species